rnacentral:rRNA from 1 species
UACGAAGGUCCCAAGCGUUAUCCGGAUUUAUUGGGUUUAAAGGGUGCGUAGGCGGGCUAUUAAGUCAGUGGUGAAAGCUCUCGGCCUAACCGAGAAAUUGCCAUUGAUACUGAUGGUCUUGAGUACAUUUGAGGCGGGCGGAAUGUGUCAUGUAGCGGUGAAAUGCUUAGAUAUGACACAGAACACCGAUUGCGUAGGCAGCUCGCUAAACUGUAACUGACGCUGAGGCACUGAAGCGUGGGGAGCAAACAGG